AUUGUUCAGAGCCAUGAGUUGAAAGAUUGCCACGUGCAGGUGGGAGGGCUUCAAGAUUCACACCGGUCCAAGAAGUCCUCAUUGUGGAUAUGGUAUGCAAGAACAAUGUGAUGAGACUACGGGAGAUACGGGAGAAAAUUAUUGAUGACAAUUUGAACUUUCGGACCACUGACAAUGUCAGCCUGACAACCAUAGACAGAGUCCUCAAGUGCCAGAGAGUACGCAUGAUGCAGGGCUAUAGGGUACCCAUUGAGCGCAACUCUGACAGAAUAAAACACCUACGUCACCAGUAUGUGCAAAGGAUCUUCGGGUUGGAGUCCAUGGCCAGACCCCAUGAAUUUAUGGGGUCUGGCAUCAACUUCACAAAAAAGAGGAGGAGAGGCCGUAACAUCAUAAGACGGAGAGCUAUCGUGGAGGAAACAUCACUCUCUGCGCUGCCAUGAAUUUUAGAGGGCUUCUCCACCGGCAUGCUGAACUCUGCGCCUACAACACUGAGUGCCUCCUCACCAUUCAAGGAGAGCUCAGAGAUGUCUUGCAUGACCGUGACCACCUGAAUGCUAGGCCAGCUGAUCACCACGACCAGCAGAUUCCGGAGCCUGCUGAUCUUUCCAUAUAUUUCAUCCUCUGGGACAAUGUUAUUUUCCAUCGCAGCAUCCAGGUCAGAGAGUGGUUUAACAUCAACCAGCAAUUUAUUAAUGUGUGUCUGCCACCCUACUCUCCAUUCCUAAACCCAAUAGAAAAGUUCUUCUUAUC